UAGAUCGGAGAGUAAUCCCCAAUCAAUGCUAUGCAAGAAGUCAGCAGAGUCCGUAGUACGCAUGGAAAUCGCAACUUAAAACUUGCGAAGCCUAUGCGGAAGGGA
rfam:Candidatus Thrbacteria bacterium RIFCSPLOWO2_01_FTLL_47_24 rifcsplowo2_01_scaffold_1067, whole genome shotgun sequence.